AAUUUAACAUUACCUCCGUUAACCUAUUUUUUUUAAUUCUUGUCUUUGCUCUUGCAAGAGACCAGAUCAUGUCAAUAUCGAACCCAGACCUAUUCAUAUGACUUGAAAUCUAUACCAGAUCAUUGACAACGCCAUACAAAUUGACCCGUAUGAAGUCCGAGUUUCCGACCUCUAAAGCAAGUAUGCAUAAUAUCUGGUCUCUCUCUUUUUUCACCUUCUGCUCAUAGUAGAAGAAUGAGGGAAUUUUUAGAUUUAGAGAGAAGAAGAAGAAGAAGAAGAAGGAGCAGCAGCAGCAGCUUGGAAUGAUCGAGGAUCUGAUUCCAAUUCUAAUAUUACGCAGUAAUUGCGGCAUUAAAAUGACUAGAUCAACCAGCGAGCUGAGCUGAGCCGCGCCGCCGGCCAUAACUUAUACUCAACGGCCGUGGAGGUGGAGAUCUUUUCUCAAUCAAUCAGAAAUAAAAAGCAAAGCAGCCCUCUUUCUUCUUCUUCUUUUGUUGGAGUCGGGCCCUAUCAGUUUUUCCUUUUGGACUUUGCUUUAUAUCAAAAGAAUACUUAAGUUUCUUUCUGA